UACAGGGGGUGCAAACGUUGCUCGGAAUCAUUGGGCGUAAAGCGCGCGCAGGCGGUCCUUCAAGUCAGAGGUGAAAGCCCAGAGCUCAACUCUGGAACGGCCUUUGAGACUAGAGGACUUGGGUACGGGAGAGGUGAGUGGAAUUCCGAGUGUAGAGGUGAAAUUCGUAGAUAUUCGGAAGAACACCAGUGGCGAAGGCGGCUCACUGGCCCGUUACCGACGCUCAGGCGCGACAGCGUGGGGAGCAAACAGG
rnacentral:rRNA from 1 species